rnacentral:rRNA from 1 species
AGAGUUUGAUCCUGGCUCAGAUUGAACGCUGGCGGCAGGCCUAACACAUGCAAGUCGAGCGGAAACGAGAAGUAGCCUGCUACUUCGGCGUCGAGCGGCGGACGGGUGAGUAAUGCCUAGGAAAUUGCCCUGAUGUGGGGGAUAACCAUUGGAAACGAUGGCUAAUACCGCAUAAUGCCUUCGGGCCAAAGAGGGGGACCUUCGGGCCUCUCGCGUCAGGAUAUGCCUAGGUGGGAUUAGCUAGUUGGUGAGGUAUGGCUCACCAAGGCGACGAUCCCUAGCUGGUCUGAGAGGAUGAUCAGCCACACUGGAACUGAGACACGGUCCAGACUCCUACGGGAGGCAGCAGUGGGGAAUAUUGCACAAUGGGCGCAAGCCUGAUGCAGCCAUGCCGCGUGUAUGAAGAAGGCCUUCGGGUUGUAAAGUACUUUCAGCAGUGAGGAAGGGGUGUACGUUAAUAGCGUGCAUCUUUGACGUUAGCUGCAGAAGAAGCACCGGCUAACUCCGUGCCAGAGCCGCGGUAAUACGGAGGGUGCGAGCGUUAAUCGGAAUUACUGGGCGUAAAGCGCAUGCAGGUGGUUCGUUAAGUCAGAUGUGAAAGCCCGGGGCUCAACCUCGGAACUGCAUUUGAAACUGGCGGGCUAGAGUACUGUAGAGGGGGGUAGAAUUUCAGGUGUAGCGGUGAAAUGCGUAGAGAUCUGAAGGAAUACCAGUGGCGAAGGCGGCCCCCUGGACAGAUACUGACACUCAGAUGCGAAAGCGUGGGGAGCAACAGGAUUAGAUACCCUGGUAGUCCACGCCGUAAACGAUGUCUACUUGGAGGUUGUGGCCUUGAGCCGUGGCUUUCGGAGCUAACGCGUUAAGUAGACCGCCUGGGGAGUACGGUCGCAAGAUUAAAACUCAAAUGAAUUGACGGGGGCCCGCACAAGCGGUGGAGCAUGUGGUUUAAUUCGAUGCAACGCGAAGAACCUUACCUACUCUUGACAUCCAGAGAAGCCAGCGGAGACGCAGGUGUGCCUUCGGGAACUCGAGACAGGUGCUGCAUGGCUGUCGUCAGCUCGUGUUGUGAAAUGUUGGGUUAAGUCCCGCAACGAGCGCAACCCUUAUCCUUGUUUGCCAGCGAGUAAUGUCGGGAACUCCAGGGAGACUGCCGGUGAUAAACCGGAGGAAGGUGGGGACGACGUCAAGUCAUCAUGGCCCUUACGAGUAGGGCUACACACGUGCUACAAUGGCGCAUACAGAGGGCAGCCAACCAGCGAUGGUGAGCGAAUCCCAAAAAGUGCGUCGAGUCCGGAUUGGAGUCUGCAACUCGACUCCAUGAAGUCGGAAUCGCUAGUAAUCGUGAAUCAGAAUGUCACGGUGAAUACGUUCCCGGGCCUUGUACACACCGCCCGUCACACCAUGGGAGUGGGCUGCAAAAGAAGUAGGUAGUUUAACCCUUCGGGGAGGACGCUUACCACUUUGUGGUUCAUGACUGGGGUGAAGUCGUAACAAGGUAACC